UUCACUGUGUAUUUUUAUAACAGGCGCCUCCUUGACCGUCCAUGAUAUUGCAGAUAUGCAGUGCCAAAAGCUUAUGUAUACUUCAUCAAACUGACCAUGUCACCUUGGAAUCUCCAAACAGUUGCAUAUGUGAAGGCAGUAUGGAACAGAGCAAACAACAGUGGGCCAGCGAGCUUCAAAAUAAAAGACAGAACAGGAAUUGCUGCCCCAUCAUUGGAUCGAGCAUUGCAGGAAAAUAUAAAGAUGAGUAAAAGUGGAAAACCCCUAUCAAACUGGUACCGAACUGUGGAAUGGCAGAGAAGGAAUGGAAGCCAAGGGUCUUGCCAGAUGGCUGCUAGCCCCUGUUUCCAGAGAGGAGUCCCCUUUGCCACUCCUUCCCAGCCACAGCUAUUCCCCCGCAGCUUCUGUCACAUGCCAAGUGUCCCAGGGAAUUGUUCUCCAGGGAAUCAUGUUCCCUACCUCCCUGGAAUACUGCUGGC
rnacentral:lncRNA from 1 species